CCUACGGGUGGCAGCAGUGGGGAAUAUUGGACAAUGGGCGAAAGCCUGAUCCAGCCAUGCCGCGUGUGUGAAGAAGGCCUUCGGGUUGUAAAGCACUUUCAGUGGGGAAGAAAGCCUUGGGGCUAAUACCCUCGAGGAAGGACAUCACCCACAGAAGAAGCACCGGCUAACUCCGUGCCAGCAGCCGCGGUAAUACGGAGGGUGCGAGCGUUAAUCGGAAUUACUGGGCGUAAAGCGCGCGUAGGCGGUCUGAUAAGCCGGUUGUGAAAGCCCCGGGCUCAACCUGGGAACGGCAUCCGGAACUGUCAGGCUAGAGUGCAGGAGAGGAAGGUAGAAUUCCCGGUGUAGCGGUGAAAUGCGUAGAGAUCGGGAGGAAUACCAGUGGUGAAGGCGGCCUCUGGACUGACACUGACGCUGAGGUGCGAAAGCGUGGGUAGCAAACAGGAUUAGAUACCCUGGUAGUC
rnacentral:rRNA from 1 species